rnacentral:rRNA from 1 species
AGUUUGAUCCUGGCUCAGAUUGAACGCUGGCGGCAUGCCUUACACAUGCAAGUCGAACGGCAGCGGACCUUCGGGUGCCGGCGAGUGGCGAACGGGUGAGUAAUGCAUCGGAACGUGCCAUUGAGUGGGGGAUAACGUAGCGAAAGUUACGCUAAUACCGCAUAUUCUGUGAGCAGGAAAGCAGGGGACCGCAAGGCCUUGCGCUCUUUGAGCGGCCGAUGUCAGAUUAGCUAGUUGGUGAGGUAAAGGCUUACCAAGGCGACGAUCUGUAGCGGGUCUGAGAGGAUGAUCCGCCACACUGGAACUGAGACACGGUCCAGACUCCUACGGGAGGCAGCAGUGGGGAAUUUUGGACAAUGGGCGCAAGCCUGAUCCAGCCAUGCCGCGUGAGUGAAGAAGGCCUUCGGGUUGUAAAGCUCUUUCGGCCGGGAAGAAAUCGCAUGGGUUAAUACCCUGUGUGGAUGACGGUACCGGAAUAAGAAGCACCGGCUAACUACGUG